UAAUGUCUGGGAAACUGCCUGAUGGAGGGGGAUAACUACUGGAAACGGUAGCUAAUACCGCAUAACGUCGCAAGACCAAAGUGGGGGACCUUCGGGCCUCAUGCCAUCAGAUGUGCCCAGAUGGGAUUAGCUAGUAGGUGGGGCAAUGGCUCACCUAGGCGACGAUCCCUAGCUGGUCUGAGAGGAUGACCAGCCACACUGGAACUGAGACACGGUCCAG
rnacentral:rRNA from 1 species